rnacentral:misc_RNA from 1 species
AAGAAAGCAAAAAGAGCAAAAAAAUCUACAACCUGCAAAUCUUAAGCCCUUCAAAGAUCCUUCCUCUUUAAAAAUAAAAUAUAAAAAUAUUUUCUUUAGGUUCUUAGGUUUUGUUUCAAGUUUUUGUAAAGUUACUUUGGAAGUCGUUCGGGUUUCCCGAAAGGAAAACUUCACUCUGUUCUAGAUAAUGUAAGUUUUCAUAUUUAAGUUUCUAGUAAACUUCUCAUAUAUGUAAAUUAUGUGUGUUUUAUGUAAAUCAUGUGUGUUUACUUUUAUGAUUAUUUAAAUAUUCAUGUAAAUUUAUAAAUAUCAUCAUGAAUCUAUAUCACUUAGUAUAUGGUUAGUCUCUUAGCUUCUUAAAAAUAUCGAUGGAUUAACCUGUAAAUUCCUAGGACAUUGCCAGGUUAAUUGUUCUGAGAAAAAAAACUAUGAAUAACCAAAUCCGGGGUGUGGUUAAAGAAGAUUAUUCUUAAGAACAAAGGUUAAGAGAAAGAGAUGAACAAUAAUAAUAGAUUCAUGAAUGGACAGAGUCCAAAAAAAAAGGUAGUUAAACUAGAAACUAGAAAGAUAAUUACAUAAUAGAACAAGAGAGUGAAGGAGUACUGAGUAGGAUUGUACAACAUUAAAAGCUUAACAAAACAAAAAUCAACAUAACACUUGUUCAGAAUUCUAUAAACCUACCUAUAAAAUGGAUAAAAUAUGGAUAUUAGUCUAUGUAGUUUAUCAAUCACAAAUCAAUAGACACAAAUACAAAAAAGCACAAAUACAUAUCAAUGAAAGUGUAUCAACUAAAGAAUACAAGUACGAAACAAUAAAUAUUAGCGAUCUAGUGGAAGAAUCAUGUCCCACUCACAAUACAUAUUACCUGGAGUAUACUUUUCAAAUGAUGCAUUUUAUAAUUAUGUAAUUUAAGAAAAUUGAUGUAUUGAACUUUUUCAUUUUUACAAAAUCGUCUGAAUUUGUUGGUUUUAAUAUUUUUCCUCGACAAUUAACGAAAAGACUCUGUUUAUUUUUUAUGAAGCACUUGUAUUAUUUCUUUUGUUAUAAGUUGUCACUUGUAAUUAUAAAUAAUUGCAGCAAAAAAUUUUAUUUAGCUAUGGUUUUUUCGUGACAAAUAGUUGAAUUAUUCACUACAAAUUUUAAAUCUCGCUAUUUAACACCUUAUAUAUUUUGUGACAAUUUUUUGUUGUCACUAAAUCGCAGAUGAUUAGAGGCAAUAAAAUCUUUGUCGCCAAUUAUUUAUAUAUUUAAUGAUGAAAAUAACUGUCAUAAUUAAAUUUAAAUUUUUAUAGCUAAACCUUAUA